rnacentral:rRNA from 1 species
UCUGAGUGGCGGACGGCUGAGGAACACGUGGGUACCUGCCCUGCCGUGGGGGAUAACUGGCCGAAAGGCUUGCUAAUCCCGCAUACGGUCCCCUUUGGGGACGAAAGCGGCAACGCGCGGCGGGAGGGGCCUGCGGCCCAUCAGGUCGUUGGUGGGGUAACGGCCUACCAAGCCGAUGACGGGUAGCUGGUCUGUGAGGACAACCAGCCAGACUGGGACUGAGAGACGGCCCAGACUCCUACGGGAGGCAGCAGCAAGGAAUUUUCCCCAAUGGGCUAACGCCUGAGGGAGCAACGCCGCGUGCAGGACGACGGCCUUCGGGUUGUAAACUGCUUUUCGGGGGGAAGAGAGUGACGGUACCCCCGGAAUAAGCCUCGGCUAACUCUGUGCCAGCAGCCGCGGUAAGACAGAGGAGGCAAGCGUUGUCCGGACUGACUGGGCGUAAAGCGCACGCAGGCGGAGGCGGGCGUCGGUGCUGAAAGUCCACCGCUUAACGGUGGAUGGCGUGCCGAUAC